rnacentral:rRNA from 1 species
GACGAACGCUGGCGGCGUGCUUAACACAUGCAAGUCGAACGGUGAUGACAGGGCUUGCCUUGUCGGAUCAGUGGCGAACGGGUGAGUAACACGUGAGUAACCUGCCCCAGACUCUGGGAUAACCCCGGGAAACCGGAGCUAAUACCGGAUAUGACCCUUGUACGCAUGUGCUGGGGGUGGAAAGUUUUUCGGUCUGGGAUGGGCUCGCGGCCUAUCAGCUUGUUGGUGAGGUAGUGGCUCACCAAGGCGACGACGGGUAGCCGGCCUGAGAGGGCGACCGGCCACACUGGGACUGAGACACGGCCCAGACUCCUACGGGAGGCAGCAGUGGGGAAUAUUGCACAAUGGGCGAAAGCCUGAUGCAGCGACGCCGCGUGAGGGGUGACGGCCUUCGGGUUGUAAACCUCUUUCAGCAGGGAAGAAGCGCAAGUGACGGUACCUGCAGAAGAAGCACCGGCUAACUACGUGCCAGCCGCCGCAGUAAAAC